rfam:Endocarpon pusillum Z07020 unplaced genomic scaffold C721943, whole genome shotgun sequence.
GCCUCGAUGACGCAAUUGGUUAGCGUGUAAGGCUUUUAACCUUGAAGUUGAGGGUUCGAGUCCCUCUCGAGGCG